rnacentral:rRNA from 1 species
AGGUUAAGCUGAAGAGGCGGAGCCGCAGCGAAAGCGAGUCUGAAUAGGGCGUUUAGUACGUGGUCGUAGACCCGAAACCAGGUGAUCUACCCAUGUCCAGGGUGAAGUUCAGGUAACACUGAAUGGAGGCCCGAACCCACGCACGUUGAAAAGUGCGGGGAUGAGGUGUGGGUAGCGGAGAAAUUCCAAUCGAACCUGGAGAUAGCUGGUUCUCCCCGAAAUAGCUUUAGGGCUAGCCUUAAGUGUAAGAGUCUUGGAGGUAGAGCACUGAUUGAACUAGGGGUCCUCAUCGGAUUACCGAAUUCAGUCAAACUCCGAAUGCCAAUGACUUAUCCUUAGGAGUCAGACUGCGAGUGAUAAGAUCCGUAGUCAAGAGGGAAACAGCCCAGAUCGCCAGCUAAGGUCCCAAAGUGUGUAUUAAGUGGAAAAGGAUGUGGAGUUGCUUAGACAACUAGGAUGUUGGCUUAGAAGCAGCCACCAUUUAAAGAGUGCGUAAUAGCUCACUAGUCGAGUGACUCUGCGCCGAAAAUGUACCGGGGCUAAAUACACCACCGAAGCUGCGAAUUGAUACCGAUGGUAUCAGUGGUAGGGGAGCGUUCUAAGUGCAGUGAAGUCAGACCGGAAGGACUGGUGGAGCGCUUAGAAGUGAGAAUGCCGGUAUGAGUAGCGAAAGACGGGUGAGAAUCCCGUCCACCGAAUGCCUAAGGUUUCCUGAGGAAGGCUCGUCCGCUCAGGGUUAGUCAGGACCUAAGCCGAGGCCGACAGGCGUAGGCGAUGGACAACAGGUUGAUAUUCCUGUACCACCUCUUUAUCGUUUGAGCAAUGGAGGGACGCAGAAGGAUAGAAGAAGCGUGCGAUUGGUUGUGCACGUCCAAGCAGUUAGGCUGAUAAGUAGGUAAAUCCGCUUAUCGUGAAGGCUGAGCUGUGAUGGGGAAGCUCCUUAUGGAGCGAAGUCUUUGAUUCCCCGCUGCCAAGAAAAGCUUCUAGCGAGAUAAAAGGUGCCUGUACCGCAAACCGACACAGGUAGGCGAGGAGAGAAUCCUAAGGUGUGCGAGAGAACUCUGGUUAAGGAACUCGGCAAAAUGACCCCGUAACUUCGGGAGAAGGGGUGCUUUCUUAACGGAAAGCCGCAGUGAAUAGGCCCAAGCGACUGUUUAGCAAAAACACAGCUCUCUGCGAAGCCGUAAGGCGAAGUAUAGGGGGUGACACCUGCCCGGUGCUGGAAGGUUAAGGAGAGGGGUUAGCGUAAGCGAAGCUCUGAACUGAAGCCCCAGUAAACGGCGGCCGUAACUAUAACGGUCCUAAGGUAGCGAAAUUCCUUGUCGGGUAAGUUCCGACCCGCACGAAAGGUGUAACGAUUUGGGCACUGUCUCAACCAGAGACUCGGUGAAAUUAUAGUACCUGUGAAGAUGCAGGUUACCCGCGACAGGACGGAAAGACCCCGUGGAGCUUUACUGUAGCCUGAUAUUGAAUUUUGGUACAGUUUGUACAGGAUAGGCGGGAGCCAUUGAAACCGGAGCGCUAGCUUCGGUGGAGGCGCUGGUGGGAUACCGCCCUGACUGUAUUGAAAUUCUAACCUACGGGUCUUAUCGACCCGGGAGACAGUGUCAGGUGGGCAGUUUGACUGGGGCGGUCGCCUCCUAAAGUGUAACGGAGGCGCCCAAAGGUUCCCUCAGAAUGGUUGGAAAUCAUUCGUAGAGUGCAAAGGCAUAAGGGAGCUUGACUGCGAGACCUACAAGUCGAGCAGGGACGAAAGUCGGGCUUAGUGAUCCGGUGGUUCCGCAUGGAAGGGCCAUCGCUCAACGGAUAAAAGCUACCCCGGGGAUAACAGGCUUAUCUCCCCCAAGAGUCCACAUCGACGGGGAGGUUUGGCACCUCGAUGUCGGCUCAUCGCAUCCUGGGGCUGUAGUCGGUCCCAAGGGUUGGGCUGUUCGCCCAUUAAAGCGGUACGCGAGCUGGGUUCAGAACGUCGUGAGACAGUUCGGUCCCUAUCCGUCGUGGGCGUAGGAAAUUUGAGAGGAGCUGUCCUUAGUACGAGAGGACCGGGAUGGACGCACCGCUGGUGUACCAGUUGUUCUGCCAAGGGCAUAGCUGGGUAGCUAUGUGCGGAAGGGAUAAGUGCUGAAAGCAUCUAAGCAUGAAGCCCCCCUCAAGAUGAGAUUUCCCAUAGCGUAAGCUAGUAAGAUCCCUGAAAGAUGAUCAGGUUGAUAGGUUCGAGGUGGAAGCAUGGUGACAUGUGGAGCUGACGAAUACUAAUAGAUCGAGGACUUAACCAU